AAUACAGGAGUGUUUAUGGUUGGGUUGAGACACAUUCAGUAGCUGAGUGAUUGACAGCAAGAGGAGCAAGACAUGAGGAGCUGGUGACACAGUUAUUAUGGAAGGAUAACUGAUAGUCUUAAGUUAAUAAUUAUCAAAUAUAUGGCAAUGCUGGACUUUAGCUGAUCAUCGUGCUUCUGGAAAACAACAAAAAUUGAGAUAUCUGUUCACCACUUUGUGUGUCCAAGGACCACCUACUUUUUACAUGUGACAAGAACUACCCACCUCCACUCUUCAGGAUAGAACAUGCUGAAGAAAAGAGUUGCAAUGAGAAAAUAUAUGGGAACAAAAUACCUAUGCAAUGCAGAAGUCUGCAUAACUGAACCACUCAGAGGAAAAAGAUUGCCAUUUCAGGACACCUCCUACAUCUGAGGAAAUAUGCAUUGAUCUUGCAGUACUUUUCUCCUCCAAAUAAAAGUCAGUAUGAUAACAACUACA
rnacentral:lncRNA from 1 species